UGCCCACGUCCUGCCAUCCCAUCCCUUUCCCUCUGAAACCUCCCAGUCCCACGCCGCAUCUUCUCUUCUCCCAAGUCCCAACAACUUCUUCGCCGCCGCCGCCAUGCGCCAACCCCGCUGUCGCCCGUUGAUCCGGCUGCGCACCUCACCCUCGUCGCUCUCCCUGGCCCAGCAACAUCACCCACUCCCUGCUCUUCCUCCCGACGCGGAAGUGUCCUUUCGAGUCUCGUCUCUGUCUUCGUGGUCCUCAGAUCUGGCAGCCUCCGGCCACAACGCUGCCGGAUCUAACCAACCAAUAGGUGCUCGACGCCGCUCCUCAGGACCGCGUCGGUCUUCUUCGUCUGCUCUCUCUCUCUCCCUCAACCUCCCACGGCAUGUAUCGACCCCUUCUGAAACUCCUCAUCCGAGUGGCCACCUGAUGCCGCCGUGUAGAACACGCUCACUCCUGCCUUCGCCCGCCUGUACCAGGAUUUGCUCCUGUGGUUCAAGUUGAAUACUGGGGAGAUGGAGAUGGUGACAUGGCUGGCUUCUGUGGUGGUGAGGUUCAAGUUCUACAACGAGGUGGCCGUUGGGCCUAUCUGAAGAGCAACAAUGUAACGCUUUUGAGCUUAGGUACAAGAAGUCGUAUUUGAAAGGGGACGAGAUGAUGUUCAUCAAAAUGAAACUGAAAAGGAGUGGGAAACAAUACCGGAGGAAUCGUGAUCUAUGGCAAGGGUGAUGAUGUCUAUGGCGAUGAUUGUCAUGAUCUAUAUGGCAAUGGGCGUUAUGAUCCAUAUGGUGAUGAAGAUGAGUCUGAUCUUUCUUCAGGAUAUGCAACAAAGUGAACUUAUGAAGUUUUGGUCAAUUUUAGCUUAUGCAUAAUGCUUGGACCAUUAUAUCUUAAUUACUAUUUUUGUUUAGCACUUCAAACUUCCUAGAUAGAUCAUUAUGAUCGAUGUAAUUUGGAUCCGCUAAAUAUACUAUAUGUUACUUGGUCAUGUGUGGUUGUGCAAUUAUAAGAUAGUAUAUUUGAAGUGGAAAACAAUCCUUUUGGGGU